GAUGAACGCUGGCGGCGUGCCUAAUACAUGCAAGUCGAGCGAACGGACGAGAAGCUUGCUUCUCUGAUGUUAGCGGCGGACGGGUGAGUAACACGUGGAUAACCUACCUAUAAGACUGGGAUAACUUCGGGAAACCGGAGCUAAUACCGGAUAAUAUUUUGAACCGCAUGGUUCAAAAGUGAAAGACGGUCUUGCUGUCACUUAUAGAUGGAUCCGCACUGCAUUAGCUAGUUGGUAAGGUAACGGCUUACCAAGGCAACGAUGCAUAGCCGACCUGAGAGGGUGAUCGGCCACACUGGAACUGAGGCACGGUCCAGACUCCUACGGGAGGCAGCAGUGGGGAAUCUUCCGCAAUGGGCGAAGGCCUAACGGAGCAACGCCGCGUGAGUGAUGAAGGUCUUCUGAUCGUAAAACUCUGUUAUUAGGGAAGAACAUAUGUGUAAGUAACUGUGCACAUCUUGACGGUACCUAAACAGAAAGCCACGGCUAACUACGUG
rnacentral:rRNA from 1 species